GGCGUUAAGUUGCAGGGUAUAGACCCGAAACCCGGUGAUCUAGCCAUGGGCAGGUUGAAGGUUGGGUAACACUAACUGGAGGACCGAACCGACUAAUGUUGAAAAAUUAGCGGAUGACCUGUGGCUGGGGGUGAAAGGCCAAUCAAACCGGGAGAUAGCUGGUUCUCCCCGAAAGCUAUUUAGGUAGCGCCUCGUGAAUUCAUCUCCGGGGGUAGAGCACUGUUUCGGCUAGGGGGCCAUCCCGGCUUACCAACCCGAUGCAAACUGCGAAUACCGGAGAAUGUUAUCACGGGAGACAC
rnacentral:rRNA from 1 species